rnacentral:rRNA from 1 species
AUUGAACGCUGGCGGCAGGCCUAACACAUGCAAGUCGAGCGAGCGGCGGACGGGUGAGUAAUGUAUGGGGAUCUGCCCGAUAGAGGGGGAUAACUACUGGAAACGGUGGCUAAUACCGCAUACUAUCGGAUGGACCCGCGGUGCAUUAUCUAGUUGGUGAGGUAACGGCUCACCAAGGCCACGAUGCAUAGCCGACCUGAGAGGAUGAUCAGCCACACUGGGACUGAGACACGGCCCAGACUCCUACGGGAGGCAGCAGUGGGGAAUAUUGCACAAUGGGCGCAAGCCUGAUGCAGCCAUGCCGCGUGUAUGAAGAAGGCCUUAGGGUUGUAAAGUACUUUCAGCGGGGAGGCGUUACCCGCAGAAGAAGCACCGGCUAACUCCGUGCCAGCAGCCGCGGUAAUAC